CACUCCUACGGGAGGCAGCAGUGGGGAAUUUUGGACAAUGGGCGAAAGCCUGAUCCAGCAAUGCCGCGUGAGUGAAGAAGGCCUUCGGGUUGUAAAGCUCUUUUGUCAGGGAAGAAACGGUGAAAGCUAAUAUCUUUUGCUAAUGACGGUACCUGAAGAAUAAGCACCGGCUAACUACGUGCCAGCAGCCGCGGUAAUACGUAGGGUGCAAGCGUUAAUCGGAAUUACUGGGCGUAAAGCGUGCGCAGGCGGUUUUGUAAGUCUGAUGUGAAAUCCCCGGGCUCAACCUGGGAAUUGCAUUGGAGACUGCAAGGCUAGAAUCUGGCAGAGGGGGGUAGAAUUCCACGUGUAGCAGUGAAAUGCGUAGAUAUGUGGAGGAAAACCGAUGGCGAAGGCAGCCCCCUGGGUCAAGAUUCACACUCAUGCACGAAAGCGUGGGGAGCAAACAGGAUUAGAUACCGCAGUAGUCCC
rnacentral:rRNA from 1 species